rnacentral:rRNA from 1 species
UGAGGAAUAUUGGUCAAUGGGCGAGAGCCUGAACCAGCCAAGUCGCGUGAAGGAAGAAUGUCCUAUGGAUUGUAAACUUCUUUUGUAAGGGAAUAAAAAAGGGUACGUGUACCCUAUUGUAUGUACUUUACGAAUAAGGAUCGGCUAACUCCGUGCCAGCAGCCGCGGUAAUACGGAGGAUCCGAGCGUUAUCCGGAUUUAUUGGGUUUAAAGGGUGCGUAGGCGGACCAAUUAGUCAGUGGUGAAAGUUUGCAGCUCAACUGUAAAAUGGCCAUUGAAACUGUUGGUCUUGAGUGUAAAUGAGGUAGGCGGAAUGUGUUGUGUAGCGGUGAAAUGCUUAGAUAUAACACAGAACACCAAUUGCGAAGGCAGCUUACUGGGAUACAACUGACGCUGAGGCACGAAAGCGUGGGGAUCAAACA